ACGCUCGACACCUACGGGAGGCAGCAGGUAGGGAAUCUUCCACAAUGGACGCAAGUCUGAUGGAGCAACGCCGCGUGAGUGAAGAAGGUCUUCGGAUCGUAAAACUCUGUUGUUAGAGAAGAACACGAGUGAGAGUAACUGUUCAUUCGAUGACGGUAUCUAACCAGCAAGUCACGGCUAACUACGUGCCUGCAGCCGCGGUAAUCUGAGCGGGCUGGCAAGGC
rnacentral:rRNA from 1 species